UACGUAGGGUGCAAGCGUUGUCCGGAAUUAUUGGGCGUAAAGAGCUCGUAGGCGGUCUGUCACGUCGGCUGUGAAAUCCCGAGGCUCAACCUCGGGUCUGCAGUCGAUACGGGCAAACUAGAGUAUUGCAGGGGAGACUGGAAUUCCUGGUGUAGCGGUGAAAUGCGCAGAUAUCAGGAGGAACACCGGUGGCGAAGGCGGGUCUCUGGGCAUUAACUGACGCUGAGGAGCGAAAGCAUGGGGAGCGAACAGG
rnacentral:rRNA from 1 species